CAACGCGAAGAACCUUACCUGGUCUUGACAUCCACGGAAGUUUUCAGAGAUGAGAAUGUGCCUUCGGGAACCGUGAGACAGGUGCUGCAUGGCUGUCGUCAGCUCGUGUUGUGAAAUGUUGGGUUAAGUCCCGCAACGAGCGCAACCCUUAUCCUUUGUUGCCAGCGGUCCGGCCGGGAACUCAAAGGAGACUGCCUGUGAUAAACUGGAGGAAGGUGGGGAUGACGUCAAGUCAUCAUGGCCCUUACGACCAGGGCUACACACGUGCUACAAUGGCGCAUACAAAGAGAAGCGACCUCGCGAGAGCAAGCGGACCUCAUAAAGUGCGUCGUAGUCCGGAUUGGAGUCUGCAACUCGACUCCAUGAAGUCGGAAUCGCUAGUAAUCGUGGAUCAGAAUGCCACGGUGAAUACGUUCCCGGGCCUUGUACACACCGCCCG
rnacentral:rRNA from 1 species